CACCAGACUCCUACGGGAGGCAGCAGUGGGGGAUAUUGCACAAUGGGGGGAACCCUGAUGCAGCGACGCCGCGUGGGUGAAGGAGUAUUUCGGUAUGUAAAGCCCUAUCGGCAGGGAAGGAGCAAGACGGGACCUGACUAAGAAGCCCCGGCCAACUACGUGCCAGCAGCCGCGGUAAUACGUAGGGGGCAAGCGUUAUCCGGAUUUACUGGGUGUAAAGGGGGCGCAGACGGCGAUGCAAGCCAGGAGUGAAAGCCCGGGGCCCAACCCCGGGACUGCUCUUGGAACUGCGUGGCUGGAGUGCAGGAGGGGCAGGCGGAAUUCCUGGUGUAGCGGUGAAAUGCGUAGAUAUCAGGAGGAACACCGGUGGCGAAGGCGGCCUGCUGGACUGCAACUGACGUUGAGGCCCGAAAGCGUGGGGAGCAAACAGGAUUAGAUACCCUUGUA
rnacentral:rRNA from 1 species